GAUGAACGCUGGCGGCGUGCCUAAUACAUGCAAGUCGAGCGAACAGACGAGGAGCUUGCUCCUCUGACGUUAGCGGCGGACGGGUGAGUAACACGUGGAUAACCUACCUAUAAGACUGGGAUAACUUCGGGAAACCGGAGCUAAUACCGGAUAAUAUAUUGAACCGCAUGGUUCAAUAGUGAAAGACGGUUUUGCUGUCACUUAUAGAUGGAUCCGCGCCGCAUUAGCUAGUUGGUAAGGUAACGGCUUACCAAGGCAACGAUGCGUAGCCGACCUGAGAGGGUGAUCGGCCACACUGGAACUGAGACACGGUCCAGACUCCUACGGGAGGCAGCAGUAGGGAAUCUUCCGCAAAGGGCGAAAGCUUGACGGAGCAACGCCGCGUGAGUGAUGAAGGUCUUCGGAUCGUAGAACUCUGUUAUUAGGGAAGAACAAAUGUGUAAGUAACUAUGCACGUCUUGACGGUACCUAAUCAGAAAGCCACGGCUAACUACGUG
rnacentral:rRNA from 1 species